rnacentral:rRNA from 1 species
UGAGUAACACGUGAGGAACCUGCCCCGAAGACGGGACAACACCGGGAAACCUGGUGCUAAUACCGGAUACCUUCACCGGAUCGCAUGUUCUGGUGAAGAAAUGGAUUCCGCUUCGGGAUGGCCUCGCGGCCUAUCAGCUUGUUGGUGAGGUAACGGCUCACCAAGGCGACGACGGGUAGCUGGUCUGAGAGGAUGUCCAGCCACACUGGGACUGAGACACGGCCCAGACUCCUACGGGAGGCAGCAGUUAGGAAUCUUGCGCAAAUGGACGAAAGUCUGACGCAGCGACGCCGCGUGCGGGGAUGAAGGCCUUCGGGUUGUAAAACCAGGUUUCAGGCAGGGGACGAAAUUUGACGGUACCUUGGCAGA